rnacentral:lncRNA from 1 species
CAGACAGCAAAGAUUGUCAUCAUUCUACAUUAACAGUCCACUGUUGCGUUUCUGAAUCUCACACUCAAAGUCAGUCGAAAGUUGGAUAACUGACUGUAUACAUGGAUGACUGUCAUACGUGGACUCCAUCCACAGGAUGAUGGGUGACUCAGGACCAAGAUUUAGCACAUUUGUGAGGCUGUGACUCUGCUACAGGUACACAGUCCAUGGGGAAUUGAGGCUCUCAGGCACAAAUCUAUCCACAGUUAAUAUCGUCACUGUGUACUCAGAAAAAAAAUACAGGGGAUGUUGACUCUCUUACUUAGAACUAGGACAUG